rnacentral:ncRNA from 1 species
CGCGUGGGUAGAAGCGGUCGAUUGGACAGCAGCGGCGCAAUGCCGUGAGGUCCAACUGGAGAUUGCUCACUGA